GUUGACACCUGAAAGGAAGGAGAAAGAAAUGAGAAGAGCUACCUGCACCCUUUACUUUUUAUCCUAAACUCACCCAUCAGAAUAAAAGAGAACACUGGAGAAAUUACUUUUUGAUCACAGCUGGAACUAGGACAUUGAAGACAGCAUGCUGGACCUGAAUGAGACUGAAGAUUCAGCUGUAUAUUUUCCUAGCACCCUCAAUCUCCAACGGCGACUCUCCAGACUCAGAGGGUUCUAUUUGAGACUCAGUUCCAAGGAGAGCCUCUCUGCGGGUGAUCUCCCUCCUCCCCACACCUGUCCCAAAGAGACCACAACCUCCUUCAAAGGUUUUACCUGCCUGUGGAGACGAUAGCUUUGUAGGAAGGAUGCAUUGUGGGUUAUGUAGCCAACCACGUCUCUCUUGUCAAGGCAACACAGGGAACAGAAAAUACAAGAAGAUUCAUCGACAGGGAAGUUCAAACUCAGGAUUGCCCAAACCAUGUUUGCAAAUCAAACACCAACCUGGUCCAGGGUCAUGAUGUGGACUCUCAUAAUGAAGACUGAAUAGCUUGUGAGAAUGUCUUUGGAGACAAGCAGCAGAUAGACAAGAGUCCAGGAAAAAGAUGGUAACUAACUGACUACCCAAUGGAUUGGCCAGAAAAACCCCUCGAGCCAUUUCUAGGAAGUCAGGAAGAUGAUUAAGAAGACAAAAAAGAGGACAGUGAAAGCCAGCACAAGGAAAUUCAGGAAAAACAGGACGUUCAGGAACUUGAUGAACAAAUUCAAAAAUAUGACAGACUUGGUGACUUAGUCCUCCCUGAAUCCCGAGGACAUGAAAAUGAGAACAGUGGAGAUCAGAAGGACAAGGAAGAAAUUCAGAUAAAUGAAGAAGAAAAUCAGCACCCUGAUGAACAAAUUCAGAAACAGAACGAAGACACUGACCUUGUUGGGUUCCCUCAAGCCACUCAGGAAGAUUUCCAGCGGGGCAGCAGCUCCCCUCCACACCCUGCUCAGGUCGGUCAUAAAGAACUUGAUAGAUGUCAAGAUCUACUCAGGUACAAGCCACUGGAAAAUAAAGACACUGUCCAAGUCCUAGAGAUGUCUCUGAUGCUUAAGGAACAUGAACUUGCUGAGGUGAGCACAUAGAUGCCUCCCAGGAGAGGAGGGGACAGGCCUGGUCGAGGUCUAGGUUGAACAACAUGGGGCAUUACCACCUUCUGGGAAGCAGGGGUGGACCCUGGGUGUCUGCCCUUCACCAGCAGGGGGAGAAGGAUGACAGCAAGGAAAGGAAUCAGGAGAUGUAGGGAAAAUGCCAAGGAGCAUGGAGGAAGAUGGAGGAACAAAGAAAAGAGCUAGUCAUCAUGCCAGAAAAAAAGGUUUUUGUUUUUUUAGGGUGUCUGUAUUUCAGUGUUAAUGAGUUUUGAAACUGGGCAUUUACAGUUGGACUACUUCUAGUAAAAAGAUUUGAGUUCCAUAAAUGAGUAAAUACUAUAAUAGCUGGGGCAUUACAUUCAUGGAACUUAUAAUCCUUUGCUUAGCAGAUGGAAAGUGAAAAGACCUACGGCCAAAAGGCAAGCAUGAAGGAGUCCUCCUCAGUCUCCUCAAUGGAGGUAGAGGAGGGAAAUGAGGAGGACACAUUUGACACACAAACCACAACUGCCUCAACUUGAGGGAGGCCUUCCACUGGCUAAGGAAGAGGGCUUUCUCUUAUCUUGAGAGGAAAGUGGUGGUCUGCAGGCCACCAGCAAAUCCUACGAAGAAAAGAAGUCUUAGAUGCAACAGAAUCCAACCACAAGAAAAAAGAAGGCAGAAAACAUAGAGUUGAAUCCCUUGAUUUUUAAGCAGUUUGAUA